ACGGUCCUUUCGGGGAUAGUGGCGGACGGGUGAGUAACGCGUGAGAAUCUGCCUUCAGGACGGGAACAACAACUGGAAACGGUUGCUAAAGCCCGAUGUGCCUUUCGGGGUGAAAUACUUGUAGCCUGAAGAUGAGCUCGCGUCCGAUUAGCUAGUUGGUGGAGUAAUGGUUUACCAAGGCGACGAUCGGUAACUGGUCUGAGAGGAUGACCAGUCACACUGGGACUGAGACACGGCCCAGACUCCUACGGGAGGCAGCAGUGGGGAAUUUUCCGCAAUGGGCGAAAGCCUGACGGAGCAAUACCGCGUGAGGGAGGAAGGCUCUUGGGUCGUAAACCUCUUUUAUCAGGGAAGAAACAAAUGACGGUACCUGAUGAAUCAGCAUCGGCUAACUCCGUGCCAGCAGCCGCGGUAAUACGGAGGAUGCAAGCGUUAUCCGGAAUUAUUGGGCGUAAAGCGUCCGCAGGUGGUUUUGAAAGUUUGCUGUCAAAGCGCGGAGCUUAACUUCGUACCGGCAGUGAAAACUCCAAGACUAGAGUUUGGUAGGGGUCACGGGAAUUCCCAGUGUAGCGGUGAAAUGCGUAGAGAUUGGGAAGAACACCAGCGGCGAAAGCGCGUGACUGGGC
rnacentral:rRNA from 1 species